CCUACGGGUGGCAGCAGUGGGGAAUAUUGGUCAAUGGACGAGAGUCUGAACCAGCAAAGCAGCGUGAAGGAUGACUGCCCUCUGGGUUGUAAACUUCUUUUAUAAAGGAAUAAAACGAGGCACGUGUGCCUUUUUGCAUGUACUUUAUGAUUAAGGAUCGGCUAACUCCGUGCCAGCAGCCGCGGUAAUACGGAGGAUCCGAGCGUUAUCCGGAUUUACUGGGUUUAAAGGGAGCGUAGAUGGGUUGUUAAGUCAGUUGUGAAAGUUUGCGGCUCAACCGGAAAAUUGCAUUUGAUACUGGCAGUCUUGAGUGCAGUAGAGGUAGGCGGAAUUCGUAGUGUAGCGGUGAAAUGCUUAGAUAUUACGAAGAACUCCGGUUGCGAAGGCAGCUUACUAAACUGCAACUGACAUUGAGGCUCGAAAGUGUGGGUAGCAAACAGGAUUAGAUACCCUAGUAGUC
rnacentral:rRNA from 1 species